rnacentral:rRNA from 1 species
AGAGUUUGAUCAUGGCUCAGAACGUACGCUGGCGGCACGCCUAACACAUGCAAGUCGAACGAAGUAGCAAUACUUAGUGGCAGACGGGUGAGUAACAUGUGGGUAUCUUCCCUAUGGCCUGGAAUAACACGAGGAAACUUGUGCUAAUACUGGAUAAGUCUUUACAGAGAAAGCUUUAUGCACCAUUGGAUGAGCCCGCACUUGAUUAGUUUGUUGGUAGGGUAAUGGCCUACCAAGACUUUGAUCAAUAGCUGAUUUGAGAGGAUGAUCAGCCACAUUGGGACUGAGACACGGCCCAAACUCCUACGGGAGGCAGCAGUGGGGAAUCUUGCACAAUGGAGGAAACUCUGAUGCAGCGAUGCCGCGUGAGUGAAGAAGGCCUUUGGGUUGUAAAGCUCUUUCGUCGGGGAAGAAAAUGACUGUACCCGAAUAAGAAGGUCCGGCUAACUUCGUGCCAGCAGCCGCGGUAAUACGAAGGGACCUAGCGUAGUUCGGAAUUACUGGGCUUAAAGAGUUCGUAGGUGGUUGAAAAAGUUGGUGGUGAAAUCCCAGAGCUUAACUCUGGAACUGCCAUCAAAACUUUUCAGCUAGAGUUUGAUAGAGGAAAGCAGAAUUUCUAGUGUAGAGGUGAAAUUCGUAGAUAUUAGAAAGAAUACCAAUUGCGAAGGCAGCUUUCUGGAUCAUUACUGACACUGAGGAACGAAAGCAUGGGUAGCGAAGAGGAUUAGAUACCCUCGUAGUCCAUGCCGUAAACGAUGUGUGUUAGACGUUGGAAAUUUAUUUUCAGUGUCGCAGCGAAAGCAAUAAACACACCGCCUGGGGAGUACGACCGCAAGGUUAAAACUCAAAUGAAUUGACGGGGACCCGCACAAGUAGUGGAGCAUGUGGUUUAAUUCGAAGAUACGCGCAGAACCUUACCAACACUUGACAUGUUCGUCGCGACUUUAAGAGAUUAAAGUUUUCGGUUCGGCCGGACGAAACACAGGUGCUGCAUGGCUGUCGUCAGCUCGUGUCGUGAGAUGUUGGGUUAAGUCCCGCAACGAGCGCAACCCUCACUUUUAGUUGCCAUCAUUUAGUUGGGCACUCUGAAAGAACUGCCAGUGAUAAGCUGGAGGAAGGUGGGGAUGACGUCAAGUCCUCAUGGCCCUUACGUGUUGGGCUACACACGUGCUACAAUGGUAUUUACAACAGGAAGCAAGACGGCGACGUUUAGCAAAUCCUUAAAAAAUACCUCAGUUCGGAUUGCACUCUGCAACUCGAGUGCAUGAAGCUGGAAUUACUAGUAAUCGUGGAUCAGCGUGCCACGGUGAAUGCGUUCCCGGGUCUUGUACACACCGCCCGUCACACCAUGGGAGUUGGUUCUACCUUAAGGCAAGGUUUCAAACCCUUGACCACGGUAUAGUCAGCGACUGGGGUGAAGUCGUAACAAGGUAGCCGUAGGGGAACCUGCGGCUG